ACCCGCUGAACUUAAGCAUAUCAAUAGAGCGGAGGAAAAGAAACCAACAGGGAUUGCCUUAGUAACGGCGAGUGAAGCGGCAAUAGCUCAAAUUUGAAAUCUGGCGCUUGCGUCCGAGUUGUAAUUUGUAGAGGAUGAUUUUGGUUAGGUACCUUUCGAGUUCCUUGGAACAGGACGCCUUAGAGGGUGAGAGCCCCGUACGAUUGGAUGCCGAGCCUCUGUAAAUCUCCUUCGACGAGUCGAGUAGUUUGGGAAUGCUGCUCUAAAUGGGAGGUAAAUUUCUUCUAAAGCUAAAUACCGGCCAGAGACCGAUAGCGCACAAGUAGAGUGAUCGAAAGAUGAAAAGCACUUUGAAAAGAGGGUUAAAUAGCACGUGAAAUUGUUGAAAGGGAAGGAUUUAUGACCAGACUUUUUCUAGGAGGAUCAUCCGGUGUUCUCACCGGUGCACUUCUUCUAGUUUAGGCCAGCAUCGACUUUCGGCGGCGGAUAAAAGCUUCAGGAAUGUGGCUCCUCUCGGGGAGUGUUAUAGCCUGUUGUAUAAUACGCUGCUGGGGGUCGAGGUACGCGCUUCUGCAAGGAUGCUGGCGUAAUGGUUAUCAAUCACCCGUCUUGAAACACGG
rnacentral:rRNA from 1 species